rnacentral:rRNA from 1 species
AUUGAACGCUGGCGGCAUGCCUUACACAUGCAAGUCGAACGGCAGCACGGGAGCAAUCCUGGUGGCGAGUGGCGAACGGGUGAGUAAUGUAUCGGAACGUGCCCAGUCGUGGGGGAUAACGUAGCGAAAGCUACGCUAAUACCGCAUACGAUCUAUGGCUGAAAGCGGGGGACCGUAAGGCCUCGCGCGAUUGGAGCGGCCGAUAUCAGAUUAGGUAGUUGGUGGGGUAAAGGCCUACCAAGCCGACGAUCUGUAGCUGGUCUGAGAGGACGACCAGCCACACUGGGACUGAGACACGGCCCAGACUCCUACGGGAGGCAGCAGUGGGGAAUUUUGGACAAUGGGCGCAAGCCUGAUCCAGCAAUGCCGCGUGCAGGAUGAAGGCCUUCGGGUUGUAAACUGCUUUUGUACGGAGCGAAAAGGCUCUCUCUAAUACAGGGGGCUCAUGACGGUACCGUAAGAAUAGGCACCGGCUAACUACGUGCCAGCAGCCGCGGUAA